rnacentral:rRNA from 1 species
CAGCCGUAAACUAUGCGCGUUAGGUGUAUCGGUGACCACGAGUUACCGAGGUGCCGAAGGGAAACCGUGAAACGUGCCGCCUGGGAAGUACGGUCGCAAGGCUGAAACUUAAAAGAAUUGGCGGGGGAGCACCACAACAGGUGGAGCCUGCGGUUUAAUUGGACUCAACGCCGGGAAGCUCACCGGAUAGGACAGCAGAAUGAUUGCCGGGCUGAAGACCCUGCAUGAUGAUCUGAGAGGUGGUGCAUGGCGUCAGUGACU